GGGCCUGUGGCUCAGUUGGUAGAGCACCUCAUUUGCAAUGAGGGGGUCGUCGGUUCGAAUCCGAUCAGGUCCAC
rnacentral:tRNA from 1 species